AGAUCGUGAUGCAAAUACUUGCGCAACAAAUCCUUGUAUCUCUCUCAUGCCUCAUAUAAUGAUUCACCUUCAAGUUGGGUGAAGGUAGUAAUAUCAUUCCUUAACUC